AUAUAUAUAGUUUAAAAAAAACAUUACAUUUUCACUGUAAAAAUAAAAAAAUUUUUUUAUAUAUU
rnacentral:tRNA from 1 species